GGCUUCAUAGCUCAGUUGGUAGAGCAACGUACUAGUAACGCGGAGGUCAUGGAUCCCGUUGAAGCCA